GCUGAAUUUAAGCAUAUAAGUAAGCGGAGGAGAAGACACUAAAAAGGAUUCCUUCAGUAAUGGCGAAUGAAGAAGGAACAGCUCGACCUGGAAAUUGGGGCCUGCGGCUUUGAAUUGUAGUGUUGAGAUGCACGGCCAAUGUAGGCGCAGGUGUAAGCCUUUUGGAAAGAAGUACCCUGGAGGGUGAGAGUCCCGUGCGUCACCUGCAGUUCUCCAUGCACGGCCUGCUUUCUUUGAGUCACGUUCCUUGGAAGUGGAGCGCAAAGUGGGUGGUAAAUUUCAUCUCAAGCUAAAUACAAGUUCAAGACCGAUAGCAAACAAGUACCGUGAGGGAAAGGUGAAAAGGACUUUGAAAAGAGAGUUAAACAGUGCCUGAACUCGCUGAAUGGGAAGCGAAUGGAGCCAGCGUGGCUUGGUGAAAUCUUCUGCAUGCCGCCAUGGUGGUGGCUGUUGCUGCGCAAGCGGGACAGCUGCUGUGAAUGGUGGGCCUGCAGUGUUUUUGGCCUUGCGCGUCCACGCAAGUGCACGAAUAGUGAAACCUUCAGGUGCAGCACCGUUUGUCUUUGGGUGAACGAAUGUGCCUCAUGGAACCUGUUUGUGCACUGCUAGAGGCGUGUCUGGCUGAAGUGUUCUCACCCACGGGUGAGAGCCUUCCUUCCUGACACACUGAUGAGGACCAAAUGGCUCCACUCGACCCGUCUUGAAACACGGACCAAGGAGUCUAACGUGUGUGCAAGUUCCUGGGUGACAAGACCCAUGGGCGCAAUGAAAGUGACGGCCGGGAUGUUUGCACUGGCAACCGACCAAUCAAUUGGGAGAGGUUUGGGUAUGAGCACACCUGUUAGGACCCGAAAGAUGGUGAACUAUGCCUGAGAAGGGCAAACUCAGGGGAAACUCUGAUGGAGGCUCGUAGCGAUACUGACGUGCAAAUCGUUCGUCGUACUUAGGUAUAGGGGCGAAAGACUAAUCGAACCAUCUAGUAGCUGGUUCCCUCCGAA
rnacentral:rRNA from 1 species